rnacentral:rRNA from 1 species
UACGUAGGGGGCAAGCGUUGUCCGGAAUCAUUGGGCGUAAAGAGCGUGUAGGCGGCCCGGUAAGUCCGCUGUGAAAGUCCAGGGCUCAACCCUGGGAUGCCGGUGGAUACUGUCGGGCUUGAGUACGGAAGAGGCGAGUGGAAUUCCUGGUGUAGCGGUGAAAUGCGCAGAUAUCAGGAGGAACACCAAUUGCGAAGGCAGCUCGCUGGGACGUUACUGACGCUGACAGCGCGAAAGCCAGGGGAGCAAACGGG